rnacentral:misc_RNA from 1 species
GGAUCAUUGCUGGAACGCGCCCCAGGCGCACCCAGAAACCCUUUGUGAACUUAUACCUUACUGUUGCCUCGGCGCUGCUGGUCUUUAUAGGCCCUUUACUGCUACGGUGGUAAAGAGACGGCACGCCGGCGGCCAAGUUAACUCUUGUUUUUACACUGAAACUCUGAGAAAAAAACACAAAUGAAUCAAAACUUUCAACAACGGAUCUCUUGGUUCUGGCAUCGAUGAAGAACGCAGCGAAAUGCGAUAAGUAAUGUGAAUUGCAGAAUUCAGUGAAUCAUCGAAUCUUUGAACGCACAUUGCGCCCUCUGGUAUUCCGGAGGGCAUGCCUGUUCGAGCGUCAUUUCAACCCUCAAGCACUGCUUGGUGUUGGGGCACUGCCUCUCUCGCGGGAGGCAGGCCCUGAAAUCUAGUGGCGGGCUCGCCAGGACCCCGAGCGCAGUAGUUAAACCCUCGCUCUGGAAGGCCCUGGCGGUGCCCUGCCGUUAAACCCCCAACUUCUGAAAUUUGACCUCGGAUCAGGUAGGAAUA